rnacentral:snRNA from 1 species
GUGCUCGCUUCAGCAGCACAGAUACUAAAAUUGGAAUGAUUUAGAGAUUAGCAUGGCCCCCUGUGCAAGGAUGGCACUGAAAUUCGUGAAGCAUUCCAUAUUUUU